rnacentral:rRNA from 1 species
AGAGUUUGAUCAUGGCUCAGAAUCAACGCUGGCGGCGCGCUUAACACAUGCAAGUCGCACGAGAAAGGGGAGCAAUCCCUGAGUACAGUGGCGUACGGGUGAGUAACACGUGGAUCAUCUACCUUCUAGUGGGGAAUAACCCAGGGAAACCGGGGCUAAUACCGCAUAAGCUCGAGAGAGGAAAGCAGCAAUGCGCUGGAAGAGGAGUCCGCGGCCGAUUAGCUAGUUGGCAGGGUAAAAGCCUACCAAGGCAUAGAUCGGUAGCCGGCCUGAGAGGGCACACGGCCACACUGGCACUGAAACACGGGCCAGACUCCUACGGGAGGCAGCAGUGGGGAAUCUUGCACAAUGGGGGAAACCCUGAUGCAGCGACGCCGCGUGAGCGAUGAAGCCCUUCGGGGUGUAAAGCUCUUUCGGCAGGGAAGAUGAUGACGGUACCUGCAGAAGCAGCUGCGGCUAACUACGUGCCAGCAGCCGCGGUAAUACGUAGGCAGCGAGCGUUGUUCGGAGUUACUGGGCGUAAAGGGUGUGUAGGCGGUUGUUUAAGUUUGGUGUGAAAUCUCCCGGCUCAACUGGGAGGGUGCGCCGAAUACUGAAUGACUUGGAGUGCGGGAGAGGUGAGUGGAAUUCCUGGUGUAGCGGUGAAAUGCGUAGAUAUCAGGAGGAACACCGGUGGUGUAGACGGCUCACUGGACCGUAACUGACGCUGAGACACGAAAGCGUGGGUAGCAAACAGGAUUAGAUACCCUAGUAGUCC